GGUGGCGACCGGCGGACGGGUGCGUAACGCGUAUGCAACCUGCCUGACACAGGGGGAUAAUCCGAAGAAAUUUGGUCUAAUACCCCAUAAUACCGAUAUAGGCAUCUAUGUUGGUUGAAAGCUUUGGUGGUGUCAGAUGGGCAUGCGUUGUAUUAGCUAGUUGGUGAGGUAACGGCUCACCAAGGCGACGAUACAUAGGGGGACUGAGAGGUUAACCCCCCACACUGGUACUGAGACACGGACCAGACUCC
rnacentral:rRNA from 1 species